AGCUAUUGUAAACUACAUUUGGCAGUACGUCACAAAGGUCCUAUGCCAUUAACUUAGGGUUGUGAUUUCAAUUCCAACCAUACCUUUCAAACCGCUCCCCAUCGGAGACUUCAUACAAACUUCACCAUUGAAGCACAUUUCAACGAAGGUCAAGCAUCCUUGACGUUAUUCAGCCGUUAGAAAGUAAAUCAAACGAAGCAUCAGAGGUGGUCUGAUGACAUUCAGUCAUUGAAGUACAUUUCAACGAAGGUCAAGCAACUUUGACGUUACUCAGUCGUUGGCAAGUAAAUCUAACGAAGCAUCGGAGGUGGUCCGAUGACAUUCAGCCAUUGAAGUAUGUAGACACUCAAAAUUUUGCAUUCCUGUUACUAACAUUGCA
rnacentral:lncRNA from 1 species